GAUCCUGGCUCAGGACGAACGCUGGCGGCGCGCCUAACACAUGCAAGUCGAACGAGCGAGAGAGAGCUUGCUUUCUCGAGCGAGUGGCGAACGGGUGAGUAACGCGUGAGGAACCUGCCUCAAAGAGGGGCACAACAGUUGGAAACGACUGCUAAUACCGCAUAAGCCCACGGUGCCGCAUGGCACAGAGGGAAAAGGAGCAAUCCGCUUUGAGAUGUCCUCGCGUCCGA
rnacentral:rRNA from 1 species